rnacentral:snoRNA from 1 species
AUGUAGUUUUAAAGAAGGCUUUUGGGGCUGUGAAACUAACAGCUCUUAACUCUGUGACCAAAGAUUUCAAUUCUCCAUAGAAUGAUAUAGUUACUCAAAAUGUUAUCAAACUUAGGGAUCAGAGC